GCCCAGGUGGCGAAAUGGUAGACGCGCUCGUUUCAGGUGCGAGUAGUGAGAGCUGUGCAAGUUCGAGUCUUGUUCUGGGCAC
rnacentral:tRNA from 1 species